AACGAACGCUGGCGGCGUGCCUAACACAUGCAAGUCGCGGGAGAAAGGGAGCUUCGGCUCCCGAGUAAACCGGCGCACGGGUGAGUAACACGUAGGUAACGUACCUUCGAGUCCGGGAUAACCAGUCGAAAGAUUGGCUAAUACCGGAUACGCCCGCGAGGGCUUCGGCCUUCGCGGUGAAAGAUGGCCUCUGCUUGCAAGCUAUCACCCGUUGAGCGGCCUUCGCACCAUUAGCUAGUUGGUGAGGUAACGGCUCACCAAGGCUGAGAUGGUUAGCUGGUCUGAGAGGAUGGCCAGCCACACUGGGACUGAGACACGGCCCAGACUCCUACGGGAGGCAGCAGUGGGGAAUAUUGCGCAAUGGGCGAAAGCCUGACGCAGCGACGCCGCGUGGGUGAUGAAGGCCUUCGGGUCGUAAAGCCCUGUCGGGAGGGAAGAAACAUCUCCGACCUAAUACGUCGGAGACUUGACGGUACCUCCUAAGGAAGCACCGGCUAACUCCGUGCCAGCAGCCGCGGUAAUAC
rnacentral:rRNA from 1 species